rnacentral:lncRNA from 1 species
CGCCUGCCCGUUCCGGCCCUGCCCUGUCAACAACCUGGUCAGCAGGGACGCCCCCGGGGAAGAGGCUGGCCUUCACUGCUCUCUGCGUCCAGGAAGCGGGGCCGUCCCCGACGAAGCGCUGAGGACAGCGGGCCCCGCGCCCCCCACCCCUUCGGAAACAACAAUGGGCGGCCGGCGACAGAGAACCGGGGACCGAGCGUGGAAACCCCCCGCCCGGCAGUGUCGGCGGCGGCGCGGGCCCGCUGCUGCCCCCGCGCGCCCCUCCGCGGCACUGCGCGCCCGGCCGAGGGCGCCGCGGUUGAUCUCCUGGUUCUCAGACCCUGAGGACGCACGGCGGCGAGGGCGGGAAAGCUUGAGUUGGGGUUCUGAGACUAUUUUCGGUUCAAAGGAAAUUACAUGUCAUUCCUAAAGCCGAAAUCUUAUCGUGGCUUGCACUUUCCCGAAGCAGAAGCACAAUGACUUGUUUUUAUGUGAUCAUCUCAUUCUACCACUAGCUAUGUUCUUUUCUUUUUCUUCCACAUGGAGUCAGAGAUCAUAGCUAAAGAAAUUAUGAAGUGGAUAUUCAGGGGACAAAGACAGUCACGGAGCAAAGAGCUGCGAUUGCUUUUUCCUGGACUCUGAAAUCACUCAGGGCUAGGCCCUGUCUUCAGCAAACAAUUGGCCCUCCUUAUAUUCACAUACAAAC